rnacentral:lncRNA from 1 species
GUCGUCUCUUUGGCUUCGUUAGGACAGCUGGAUCUCUCAGACAGAGCUGAAAAUCCUACGCAUGAUUCAGGGAAUCCCAGGGAAGUUAGCGAUAAAACCUCCCCUUUCAAUCCAAAUAUUUUAAGCUAUAUGGUGCCUUUCUGAAGGGGUCUGAGGAGCUGCCAUCGUUACCCCGAAUCGGCAGGCUUUACAGGACUGCUCUCUCGGCUCUGCACGCUGGCCAGGGAAAAGCACGGUGCUUGUACGCUACGUAAACAUGAUAAUCGUAUCGUCACCCUGAUGACUGUUCUUCAGUAUUGCACAGAAGAGGCUGGCUGACCUCCUACAAAUCUUACAAACUGCACUUACGUUUACAUUUACACCAGGGCAAAGGAUGGGUUUGAUGAGAGCAAAAUGAUUGCUACAGGUACUGGCCAUCAUCAGAUAAGAAUACUAAUGAAGAUGCAAU